rnacentral:rRNA from 1 species
AAGACCUUGCGCUUUUGGAGCGGCCGAUGCCUGAUUAGCUUGUUGGUAAGGUAAAAGCUUACCAAGGCUUCGAUCAGUAGCUGGUCUGAGAGGACGGCCAGCCACACUGGGACUGAGACGCGGCCCAGACUCCUACGGGAGGCAGCAGUGGGGAAUUUUGGACAAUGGGGGCAACCCUGAUCCAGCCAUGCCGCGUGAGUGAAGAAGGCCUUCGGGUUGUAAAGCUCUUUCAGCCGGAACGAAACGGUUACGGUUAAUACCCGUGAUUACUGACGGUACCGGAAGAAGAAGCACCGGCUAACUACGUGCCAGCAGCCGCGGUAAUACGUAGGGUGCGAGCGUUAAUCGGAAUUACUGGGCGUAAAGCGUGCGCAGGUGGUUUUGUAAGUCAGAUGUGAAAGCCCCGGGCUCAACCUGGGAACU